rnacentral:rRNA from 1 species
UACAGAGGGUGCAAGCGUUAAUCGGAAUCACUAGGGCGUAAAGGGUGCGUAGGUGGAGUAAUAAGUUUCGUGUGAAAUCCCUGGGCUUAACCUGGGAAUGGCACGGGAGACUGUUAGUCUAGAGUACAGGAGAGGUGAGUGGAAUUUCCGGUGUAGCAGUGAAAUGCGUAGAGAUCGGAAGGAACACCGGUGGCGAAGGCGACUCACUGGCCUGAUACUGACACUCAAGCACGAAAGCGUGGGGAGCAAACAGG